CUACGGGGGGCAGCAGUGGGGAAUAUUGCACAAUGGGCGAAAGCCUGAUGCAGCAACGCCGCGUGAGUGAUGAAGGUCUUCGGAUUGUAAAGCUCUGUUCUUGGGGAAGAAUAAAUGACGGUACCCAAGGAGAAAGCCCCGGCUAACUACGUGCCAGCAGCCGCGGUAAUACGUAGGGGGCAAGCGUUAUCCGGAAUCACUGGGCGUAAAGGGUGCGUAGGCGGCUUAGCAAGUCAGAAGUGAAAGGCAUUGGCUCAACCAAUGUAAGCUUUUGAAACUGUUAGGCUUGAGUGCAGGAGAGGAAAGUGGAAUUCCUAGUGUAGCGGUGAAAUGCGUAGAUAUUAGGAGGAACACCAGUGGCGAAGGCGACUUUCUGGACUGUAACUGACGCUGAGGCACGAAAGCGUGGGGAGCGAACAGGAUUAGAUACCCUAGUAGUC
rnacentral:rRNA from 1 species